AACGGUUUGCAGGUACCCGGAAUAGACUGUAGUAUCUGUUCUUAUCAGCUUAAUAUCUGGUACACUCCGCAUUGCGGAGUCAGAAUAUUAAACUGAUUUUUGUAAUCCGAU